rnacentral:rRNA from 1 species
UGGGGAAUUUUGGACAAUGGACGAAAGUCUGAUCCAGCAAUGCCGCGUGCAGGACGAAGGCCUUCGGGUUGUAAACUGCUUUUGUACGGAACGAAACGGUCUGCUUUAAUACAGUGGGCUAAUGACGGUACCGUAAGAAUAAGCACCGGCUAACUACGUGCCAGCAGCCGCGGUAAUACGUAGGGUGCGAGCGUUAAUCGGAAUUACUGGGCGUAAAGCGUGCGCAGGCGGUUAUAUAAGACAGAUGUGAAAUCCCCGGGCUCAACCUGGGACCUGCAUUUGUGACUGUAUAGCUAGAGUACGGUAGAGGGGGAUGGAAUUCCGCGUGUAGCAGUGAAAUGCGUAGAUAUGCGGAGGAACACCGAUGGCGAAGGCAAUCCCCUGGACCUGUACUGACGCUCAUGCACGAAAGCGUGGGGAGCAAACAGGAUUAGAUACCCCAGUAGUCCCUGAGCGGGCUGGCAAGGCGCAU